CCUACGGGUUGCUGCAGCUAAGAAUCUUCCGCAAUGGGGGAAACCCUGACGGAGCGACGCCGCGUGGAUGAUGAAGGCCGUAAGGUUGUAAAAUCCUUUUGUUGGCGAAGAAUAAGCGUGGGAGUGGAAAGCCCACGUGAUGACGUUAGCCGACGAAUAAGCCCCGGCCAAUUACGUGCCAGCAGCCGCGGUAAUACGUAUGGGGCGAGCGUUGUUCGGGGGUAUUGGGCGUAAACAUCGAGUAGGUGGCGAAAUCGACAGGCCUAACCUGUCAUAUGCGCUGGAAACUGGUGGGCUUGAGUUCUUGAGGGGAAGCUGGAAUUCCAGGUGUAGGAGUGAAAUCUGUAGAUAUCUGGAAGAACACCGGUGGCGAAGGCGAGCUUCUAUCAGAGGACUGACGCUGAGGCGCGAAAGCGUGGGGAGCAAACAGGAUUAGAUACCCUUGUAGUC
rnacentral:rRNA from 1 species